AUGAAUUGCUUAAGCUGGAACUGCCGGGGAGGGGGGAAUUCCCGGACAGUUCGUGAGCUGACGACCCUUUGUAGGUCAUAUUCCCACAUGUUUGUGUUCCUGUGUGAGACGAGACAGAAGGAAGCGAAGAUGAAGAGAUUAAGAGGCCGGUUUGGCUUGAAGGGCUUUUGUGGCGUUGAUAGUUCAGGCAUGAGUGGUGGCCUGGCGGUAUAUUGGCAUGAA
rnacentral:rRNA from 1 species